AUCUUCUGAUCUUGUGAUCUGCCCACCUCAGCCUCCCAAAAUGCUGGGAUUCCAGGUGUGAGCCACCACACCUGGCCCCAAGAUCUUCUCUUUAUUUGAGAUUCAGAAUUCCUUCCGGAAGAAGGAACUGCUUUUUGUUAUAGGAUCCCUACUUUUCCUUUUUUUGUAAAAUGUAGAUGCAUAUUCUUUGCUUUAGAAAACUUCUUAUUUAAAAAGAUGGCAUGCAUUAUUACUUAGGGAAAUAAAAGGUCACCUCAGACACCAGAUGUCAUUCUCGGGUGAGGCCUGCCUCGUGGGUGGCCUGGGGUCUGCUGGCGGGUUCUGGCUGCACCUGAAGGCUGUGUGUUCCCUGUCCCCUGGAUUGUCAGGUCUAAUCUCCUGGUCCUGCUCCAGCCUAGCCCUUCUCCUCGUGGUAGUUCUGGCUUUGCAGACCCAGCUCCAGGCUGGGCUCCUGUAAACAUCCAGGGGUGUGCCGGGCCCACCCUCACAACUGCUUGUUCAGGUAUCGUGAUGGGCCACUUGGUCCAAAAUCAGCCAGGCCAGCUUUACCAUCACCUCACUUCAAAUAAACAUGAUAAUUACAUUUGAUGAUUUGCAGAGCACUUACUGGUAGUUUUACUGUACAACAGGGUCUGGGGUAGAGAGAGAAAAAUAAAAGGCCUCUGCCUGCCUCCAGUGAGGCCAGAGAGACCGAUUUUUAUCCCCAGUAGAUUCCAGUCUGGGCACAGACUCAGGAAAUGGGCCCAGUGUCUGGCCAGCUCCUCCUGGCCGCUGAAGGGGUCAGGGACACCAUGAGAUUCCCGAGCUCAGCUCCAGAAUGUCCCAGAGUGGCCCUUGGUGCAGCUGGCCUCCUUGUGGUGACAUCCCCAGCCCUCUGUCCCACAGCCUUUUUUUCUUCUUUGUCUCUGCACUGUGCCUUCCAGUUCCUAGGAGUUAAGGAAGGCACGGGAAAGGAAGGAAAGGUGGCUCAGGGGAAGCACAUUACAGGUUCUGUGUUUGCAGGGGUGGAGAGCACCUUCAGGAUAUGUGCAAAGUAGACUGUGACUUUCCAAUCCCAAAAGCCAUUUUAAGGGCCCAGGGAAAGUAUUCCAGAGAAUGCUUCCACUUCUCCCAUGGGCAGGCAGCCCCUUGGCUGUGAGUGUGCGCUCUCACAGAGGGCACAGGAUUUGCUGAUGAGAUGCUUGAUUUGGACUCUGUGGCAGCAUGUGGAGACUCAGGGUAUUCUCCGUGGAAUAGAUUGUAUUCUUAGAUUGAAUAUAAUGCUGAGUACAUUUUUAUAAUCAGCUUUUCUUUUUCCAGAGGACUUGGGGAUAAACCUACCAAAUCAAUUGUGGUGAAGGGGCCAAACAGAUGGGCCCCAGAGGUGUAGAGCCUUGGGCAGCCCCUUCCCUGGCCAGAAAAAAGAAGGUUCCGGCAGAAAAGAGAACCAGAAAAAAAGAUGCAGACCCUCUAAUAAGGAGAUGGGAUCAGGAAUGAUUCCAUGGUUAAUUUAACCCACAUAAACAACUAAUCAAUUAUGGUAUGAGCGUUUAUGUAAAGACUGUGGCAACAGGAAAUGCCUUUCUUUGAACGCAGGAUUAUCUAACCAGCACACCAAUGGUGAAAGAUUAACUUUGUCGGAAACCAGGAACCAUGAAGCAGAGGUCACUGUUUCCAUCCUGCGUGUUUUCCACUGUAAUCGGCAGCCUCCCACUGAGUUUAUACCCAAGAGAAAUGAAAACAUAUGUCCACGCAGAAAUUUGAAUACAAAUGUUCAUAGCAUUAUUCAUAAUAGCCCAAAGUGGAAACAACCCAAAUGUUCAACAGUGGAUGAAUUGAUGAACAAAAUAUGUAUCCACACAAUGAAUAAAAAGAAAGUGCUGAUGCAUGCUCCAACACGGAUGAACCGUGAAAAUACUGUGAUGGGGAAAGAGACCAGAGACAAAGGGCCACGUGUUGUAGGAUUCCAUGUGUAUGAAGUGUCCUAAUAAGCAAACUCAUAAAGACAAAAAGCAGAUCAGUGGUCACUUAGGGCUAGGGUGAGGAGUGGCCGUUAGCGGGCACUGAGUUUCUUUGGGGGUAAUGGAAUUAGAUGGUGGUGACUGCACAAUUCUGUGAGUAUACUAAAAACCAGUGGAUUGUAAGAGGGUGGAUUUUAUGAUAUAUGAAUUAUACCUCAAAGCUGUUACUUAAAACAUGUGGAAAAUAAUAAGCAGUCACUUGCUAUUCUCAAUAAAACAGACCACAUAGGUAAGACCGAUAGUGUCACAUUUUGGUUUUGGCUGAGAAUGGGGCAAGUGAGCAUAGUCACCCUUGUUGGUUCAUAAAAAUAAAAGUUUAUCUGGAAUGACAGCCUUUUACCAUGUGCCAGGUACUGUACUGUGCACUUGGCAUAUACCAAUUCAUGUAGUCCUUGUGCCAGCUCCAUGAUACAGACAUUUCAUUAUCUCCACUUUUUAGAUGGGGAAAUUGAGGUUAGGAGAGUUGAAUAACUUGCCCAUAACUGCACAGCUUCCAAGUUGCAGAGACAGAAUUUUCACCAAGUUGUCUUGCAAACUCCUCGUGUGGAUUGGAAAUUCUGUAUUAAGGUUAAUUUAUUCAUUUGUUGUUUAGUUCUAUUCAUAAUUAUUGAGUUACCAAUGGCAGUGUCAGAGGAUUUACCAUUUAGCCCAAAGCUACUCUAAGAAAAAAAAUGUUCUUGCUGCUAAUGUACAAAAAGGUAAAACCGUGACUCUUGCAAAUAAAACAUGAACAUGUAUCCAA